rnacentral:lncRNA from 1 species
UUUGUGACGGCUGAUAGAGUCCAGCAAUGGCACCGUGACUGGCCUGUGCAGGAGAGAAAGGAAGCUGGGGGCCGUGAAGGGGGUACAAUGGAUUAUACAGCAAGCUGGAUAAAUCUUGCGCAGGUGAAGCAGUCAUCCAGAUAGCCGAACCUUCAUUCUGCAAAAAACAGAUAUAUCAAAGCAUUGUGUUAAAUUCUUCUAACAGCUAAUAAAGAACACUACGAUAUAAUGUAUCGAAAUAUAACUCGACUCGCCUAAUUGACAGGUCUAUAUAGAAGGAAAGGGAAAGCAAAACGAACCAAUGGUCCAGUUGUGUAUAUAUGGUUUUCCUUCAAUUGCGAAGCUGCAAGAUCCUCCUUGCUGCUAGAACUUCCAGAGGU